UUCCAAUGUAUUAGGAGUAAUGGUGGCAAAGAAAGCAGAACUGCAAGUGGAGCUGCAGUAUUUCCUUGUUGGUGGACAGAUGAAAAGGAGUAGACUGUGUCCUCUUGGAAUCAAGCGCAAAGCGCACUUCACUUCUGAUGACUGCAAAGCUUAACCCAGGCUAUGAUAUUCAAAGAUGAGUACAUUUGGAGCAACUCCCAGCAAACAAAAGGAAGAGAU
rnacentral:lncRNA from 1 species